AGCUUUUUUAAAUACUAUUCUAAUAAGUUUAGUUAGAAAAAGUGGGGAAAGGCAAAAAGAGCAGUUCUCAAAACUAUUAAGCGGCAAAGUGAAAACUUAAAUCCAAAUAUUAAAAAAUAUGUCUCUUUUUCUCUCUCUCUCUACUUGUUCUCCAUUCUCCCCUAAAAAUUUUCUGAUAUCUCCUAUCUAAUGUUCACCCUCAAUUACAUCUAGGUCUUAAUAAAAAAAGAUUGGGUCUUUUGGAAAGCCUUUGAGAAAGGCUUGGUAUCUUGGCCAGCUGAGCUGCGUAGAGGGUUUCAAGUCUUUCUCUACUUCUUGUCUAACCCAGAUCUAAAUCACACAGACUACUAAUUUGUCUAACCUAGAUAUAUGUGUUCAUUUUCUCUAAUAAAAGAAAUGAAAAAGACUUAUUCUUUCUAGUUUAAAUAUAUGUUCUUGGCUUAUACAAGUUUUAAUAUGGGAGCUAAAGGUAGAUUUGAAUGUAAGGUGCCAGCAAUAAUCAUAAUUGUAGCUGCCAUUGGAGGAGUUUCCAGAAUUUAUUUAUUGCAUUUACAUGAGGAGAAUAAAGGUAAGGGCAAGGAUAAGCUGGACCAUCCAUAAGGGAAGGGUGAUGUGUACAUAUGCAGCCUACUCGACCGUCACAGCUAGGAUUUCUUGAGAGGAACUAGGGGUUGGGCCCUGUUUUGUCGCCUAUGACAACUAUAUUGCAUACUGGUCUUUUCUCUGUUUAUAAACUGCUUUCUGGGAUCCCAUGUUUAUGUGAAACUCUUUUAAUGAAAAGUAUUACUCUUUUUGCCAAAAAAUUUAAUAUAUAACUUUUGAGUUAGUUUAUUUACACUUUGUAAGUCCAAAUGACUCGUUUAGCGAGUUAAACACUAUUUCAAAUACAGAGUGUAACUGUCCCUAAUUAGUAAGGCAUUACACUAUAGGUUUCAUCCAA